rnacentral:rRNA from 1 species
GGAAUCUUGCGCAAUGGGCGAAAGCCUGACGCAGCGACGCCGCGUGAGUGAUGAAGGCCUUCGGGUUGUAAAGCUCUGUGGAGAGGGACGAAUAAGUCUUGGCUAAUAUCCAAGAUGAUGACGGUACCUCUUUAGCACGCACCGGCUAACUCUGUGCCAGCAGCCGCGGUAAGACAGAGGGUGCAAACGUUGUUCGGAAUUACUGGGCGUAAAGCGCGUGUAGGCUGCACGGCAAGUCGGGUGUGAAAGCCCUGGGCUCAACCCAGGAAGUGCACUCGAAACUGCCGCGCUGGAGUCCUGGAGAGGAAGGCGGAAUUCUCGGUGUAGAGGUGAAAUUCGUAGAUAUCGAGAGGAACACCGGUGGCGAAGGCGGCCUUCUGGACAGGUACUGACGCUGAGACGCGAAAGCGUGGGGAGCAAAC